UAGGCUCAUAUAUGCCGCAGAGCCUUUC
rnacentral:piRNA from 1 species